rnacentral:rRNA from 1 species
CGUGCAGAGCAACUGGUGCGCCGUCACUCCGAAGAACUCCUCGGACGCCUCGAUGAGGGCCUUCUCACACUCGCGCUGGUCGCUCUCGGCCAUGAGUGCAGGGCAGAAGCCGGGCUCUACGUCGUAGCCCGCCUUUGCGAUGAGCAGGUCGCGUAGGGCGUAGUAGACCGGGGCCUCUUCGUCGGUCAGAUGCCAGGUCGCGUCCGGG